CAGAUAUUACCGAGAAACAGUACAGAAAAGUGUCUGUGUUCUAAGUCAGCUGCCUCUGUAUGGGCUACUCCAGGCUAAGCUGCAGCUAAUUACACAUGCCUACUUUGAAGAAAAAGACUUCUCACAAAUUUCAAUACUUAAGGAACUUUAUGAGCAUAUGAAUAGCUCGCUGGGAGGAAGCCCCCUGGAAGGAUCACAAGUUUAUCUCGGCCUGUCUCCACGAGAUCUUGUCCUUCAGUUUAGACACAAGGUCUUAAUACUUUUUAAGCUGAUUCUCCUAGAGAAAAAGGUAAGAUCUCUUCCUUCUCCCCAAGUUGGCAGAAAGAACUGAAAUGGACUUGCUUAAUGACGUAGUUUAAUGGAAUAUGGAUUAAAAGCCUCUGUGGAUAGAUGUUAUGAGCUAUCCCACACAUGCAGUUAGCUAGUAUGGAGACGUGCCUGUUCUGUUUGCCUGCUUUUUAAUGUUUCAAUUCAGCAGUAGUUGCCAUGGCAAAGGUAAGCGAACUUUGCUAAAGUUGUGGUGUGGCUAUAUGGAUACAGAUAUGCAGAUGUACAGAGACAGCUGUAUGCAAGGCAGCAUAACACAAAAUGGCUGCCAAAUAUAAAAAAGCAGAAAAGGAAAGUACCCCAAAAUGGUACAGGCAUGUCUCCUUCCGCCCCGCUGGGAAAAAGGCACCUACAUCAGCCAACACUGUGCUCACUCCCAGAGAGAAGCUCUCUGCAUCUUUCCUUUGCUCAGACCAUGUCACAGCCUUGACAUGUAAUAAAAGAUGGGCAGGCUUAUAAGAGUGUGUGUUCAGUGUAGUAGAAGCCAAGCCAAUGCAAACAGGAACUGGGCAGAAAGAGCAAAUCAUCUCUCAAGCAUUGUAGAUUUUUGAGAGGAUAUUUACUGAGAUCAUUUGCGGGAACCAUAGGAGGUUAGGGUACCCUUGGUUUAUAUUCAUCCAGUAGCCACAUAUGUUUAAAAAUGAAGGGUGGAAGGGAUUAAUUCAUGGGUAGGCAACUUAAGGCCCGGGGA